GAAAGUGUGGCAUAGUAGUUUGAGUGUUGGACUGCAACUCUGCAGACCAGGGUUCGAUUCCCAGCUUGGUCA
rnacentral:tRNA from 1 species